AUCACUUCUCAGCCUUUUGGCCAAGGUCAAUUGUAGUAUCUGUUCUUCAAUUUAAUAUCUGGUAUGUCCUAAAUUAAAAACAAAGAAAAGGAAUUAUUGUAAAGGGGAGAUAAGAGAAGCCAGAGAAUCCAAUGGCCAUGUGAAAUAAAGCAUAGUACCUAUGUCUG
rnacentral:snRNA from 1 species